rnacentral:rRNA from 1 species
AACGAACGCUGGCGGCAUGCCUAACACAUGCAAGUCGAACGAGACCUUCGGGUCUAGUGGCGCACGGGUGCGUAACGCGUGGGAACCUGCCCUUAGGUUCGGAAUAACUCCCCGAAAGGGGUGCUAAUACCGGAUAAUGUCUUCGGACCAAAGAUUUAUCGCCUUUGGAUGGGCCCGCGUUGGAUUAGCUAGUUGGUAGGGUAAAAGCCUACCAAGGCGACGAUCCAUAGCUGGUCUGAGAGGAUGAUCAGCCACACUGGGACUGAGACACGGCCCAGACUCCUACGGGAGGCAGCAGUGGGGAAUAUUGGACAAUGGGCGAAAGGCUGAUCCAGCAAUGCCGCGUGAGUGAUGAAGGCCUUAGGGUUGUAAAGCUCUUUUACCCGGGAUGAUAAUGACAUUACCGGGAGAAUAAGCUCCGGCUAACUCCGUG